rnacentral:rRNA from 1 species
GAUGAACGCUAGCGGCAGGCCUAACACAUGCAAGUCGAGGGAGAAGCCCUUCGGGGCAGAAACCGGCGCACGGGUGCGUAACGCGUAUGCAACCUACCUUUCACAGGGGGAUAGCCCGAAGAAAUUUGGAUUAAUACCCCAUAAUAUUAUUGGAUGGCAUCAUUUGAUAAUUAAAAUUACGAUGGUGAAAGAUGGGCAUGCGUCCUAUUAGCUAGUUGGAGUGGUAACGGCACCCCAAGGCUACGAUAGGUAGGGGUCCUGAGAGGGAGAUCCCCCACACUGGUACUGAGACAGGGACCAGACUCCUACGGGAGGCAGCAGUGAGGAAUAUUGGUCAAUGGUCGGAAGACUGAACCAGCCAUGCCGCGUGCAGGAAGAAUGCCUUAUGGGUUGUAAACUGCUUUUAUAUGGGAAGAAUAAGGAGUACGUGUACUUUGAUGACGGUACCAUAUGAUAAGC